UUCUCGUCUUCGAGACUGGUCAUCGUUGUUGCUUUCUAUCUCGUCAUUGUCUUGCACUCAAUCGCGCGCCUUCGUUGCGCUCUUUGUCGCCGGCGGCAGAAGCAGCAGGUCCUGGGGCUCGUCAUCUUCUUGCUUCGAGUCUCACCGUCAGCUUCCCUCGCACAAUCAGAAGCUGCUUCAUGAUUUGGUGAGUUCUAACAAAUUCUCCUGCUCCUAUCAUCUGUAAUCGAGAACUUCGUUUUUCAUAUGAUCGGGCUUAUAGUCAGAGAAUAUAUUUAUGUCACUGUCUCAAUUCCCCUGGUCCCCGACUUUUAGAUGGAUACCAAAUUGGGCAUAUUUUGUCUUAGGACAGUGACAUUAUGCCUGUUCUAUUGUGAAUGUUAUCGAAAGCUUGGGUGAUGCAAAUGUGGUUCAAGAUGGGUUUAAGGUUCAUGCCAUUUUGGUUAAGAAUAGUUGUUUUGAUGCUAGUUUAUAUUAAGGUCUGUUUGGUUAGAAUGUAUUUUAGGUGUGGGAAAAUUGAGCUUGCGCGGAGGGUGUUAUAUGAAAGUUCUGAGAGAGAUGUUGCUUUGUGGGGUGCCAUGGUUGCUGGUUUUGCACACCAUAGGAUUCGGAUUGAAGCAUUACAGUAUGUGAGGUUGAUGGUAGAUGAAGGAAUAAUGCUGAAUUCGGCUUUGAUGAUGGGUGUUCUUCCCUUAGUUAGGGAGCUUGGCACAUUGCGGAUAGGUCAAGAGGCUCAUGCUUUGAUGAUGGGUGUUCUUCCCUUGGUUGGGGAGCUUGGGUGCCAUGAUUUAUAAGCAUGCUUUGGCCUGGAUUGAGUUUGCUGGUUGUCGGAGACCGAAGAGGAGCAGUGUUUGGAAGCUUAGUUGAAGGGCCUCUUAGACCAUCCAAUAAGAAAUACCAGGGAACAAAUAGUACAUUUGUUUUCACAAAUAUUUCUGGCCAUCCUGUUAUAUAUCGUCCAACAGGUAUCUUCUUCUGUCCGAGUUUGAACAUGUUACUCUUUCAUCCUUUUUGUUGUCAUAAUUAUACGAUGCUUAGCUAGCAAUCAAAAUCCAAGAUUAAUGAAUCAGUGUUAGUUUUUCUUGUUAUGUGGUGCAUUGACAUUUGAAUCUAUGGUGCAAACCUUAGAAAUUAUACCCAUGAAGAUCAUUAAAAGGUUAAAUUUCAGGAAUUGUGUGACAUAUAGUGAACAUAAUGUCAUCUUUCAACUAUAUAUAAGAACCAUUUCCUAUG